AUCCAUCAGUAGAGGACACACACUAAAGAAAACAAUAUGGAGAAUAUGCUCCAAGGUGUUUGGUCCUGUAGCCAAACAGCUGAACUGGUGUGGUAGGGGAGAAAAGCGAGGGAUCAGGAAAACAAACAUAGGAGCACUCGUAAUAGGAGCAGCUAUGAAGAAUCCCGUGCUUCCGUCGCCAACUGAAGCAGAGGCUGAAAAACACAUUAAGGAUUAUCUCCGCUUGGCCCCAGGGAGAAUGCCUUGUUAGUCAACUUGCUUUUUUGUUGUUUGUUUGUUUGGUUCAGGAUUAAAAUAAUAAUAAUAAUAAUAACGUAAACAACUGCUUAUUUUCAUUCACCGUUAAUUAAAGGAUACAGAUCAUUCAA